AGUGAACGCUGGCGGCAGGCCUAACACAUGCAAGUCGAGCGGCAGCGCGGGGCAACCUGGCGGCGAGCGGCGGACGGGUGAGGAAUUCGUCGGAAUCUGCCUUUUUGUGGGGGAUAACGUAGGGAAACUUACGCUAAUACCGCAUACGACCUACGGGUGAAAGUGGGGGACCGCAAGGCCUCACGCAGAAAGAUGAGCCGACGACCGAUUAGCUAGUUGGUAGGGUAAAGGCCUACCAAGGCGACGAUCGGUAGCUGGUCUGAGAGGAUGAUCAGCCACACUGGGACUGAGACACGGCCCAGACUCCUACGGGAGGCAGCAGUGGGGAAUAUUGGACAAUGGGCGCAAGCCUGAUCCAGCCAUGCCGCGUGUGUGAAGAAGGCCUUCGGGUUGUAAAGCACUUUUGUCCGGAAAGAAAUCCUUCAACUUAAUACGUUGGGGGGAUGACGGUACCGGAAGAAUAAGCACCGGCUAACUUCGUGCCAGCCGCCGCAGUAAAAC
rnacentral:rRNA from 1 species